GCAAGUUGCUUGAGGAGGGGUUCGCGCCUGAUUAGCUAGUUGGUCAGGUAACGGCCCACCAAGGCUUCGAUCAGUAGCCGGCCUGAGAGGGCGAACGGCCACACUGGAACUGAGACACGGUCCAGACUCCUACGGGAGGCAGCAGUGGGGAGUUUUGCGCAAUGGGCGAAAGCCUGACGCAGCAACGCCGCGUGGAGGAUGAAGGCCUCCGGGUCGUAAACCCCUGUCAGUAGGGACGAAUGCCUCGCAAGAGGUUUGACUGUACCUGCUGAGGAAGCCACGGCUAACUCCGUGCCAGCAGCCGCGGUAAUACGGAGGUGGCAAGCGUUGUUCGGAAUUACUGGGCGUAAAGGGCGCGUAGGCGGCAUGGCAAGUCAGAUGUGAAAGCCCCGAGCUUAACUCGGGAAUUGCAUCUGAAACUGCUUUGCUUGAGUCCUGAGGGGGUAGUGGAAUUCCCAGUGUAGCGGUGAAAUGCGUAGAUAUUGGGAGGAACACCUGCGGCGAAGGCGGCUACCUGGACAGUGACUGACGCUGAGGCGCGAAAGCUAGGGGAGCGAACGGGAUUAGAUACCCCGGUAGUCCUAGCUGUAAACGAUGGGCACUUGGUGUUGGGGGUAUUGAGUCCCUCGGUGCCGGAGUUAACACGUUAAGUGCCCCGCCUGGGGAGUACGGUCGCAAGACUGAAACUCAAAGGAAUUGACGGGGGCCCGCACAAGCGGUGGAGCAUGUGGUUUAAUUCGACGCAACGCGAAGAACCUUACCGAGGCUUGAACUGUAACUGCUACUCGUGGAAACAUGGGAUUCUCUUCAGAGACGGUUAUAGAGGUGCUGCAUGGCUGUCGUCAGCUCGUGUCGUGAGAUGUUGGGUUAAGUCCCGCAACGAGCGCAACACUUACUCUUAGUUGCCAUCAGGUUAAGCUGGGAACCGUAAGAGAACUGUCGGCGAAAAGCCGGAGGAAGGUGGGGAUGACGUCAAGUCCUCAUGGCCCUUACGUCUCGGGCUACACACGUGCUACAAUGGCUGGUACAAAGGGUCGCCAACCCGCGAGGGGGAGCUAAUCCCAAAAAACCAGUCUUAGUUCGGAUUGCAGUCUGCAACUCGACUGCAUGAAGGCGGAAUCGCUAAUAAUCGCAGAUCAGCAUGCUGCGGUGAAUACGUUCCCGGGCCUUGUACACACCGCCCGUCACAUCACGAAAGUGGGUUGUACUAGAAAUCGCUGGGCUAACCCG
rnacentral:rRNA from 1 species